rnacentral:tRNA from 1 species
GGUGGUGUAGCUCAGUGGCACAGGCCAUGCCUGAGGUUCUGGGUUCAAUUCCCAGCACCAAUA